rnacentral:rRNA from 1 species
AGAACGAACGCUGGCGGCAGGCUUAACACAUGCAAGUCGAGCGCCCCGCAAGGGGAGCGGCAGACGGGUGAGUAACGCGUGGGAACAUACCCUCCGGUUCGGAAUAGCUCAGGGAAACUUGGGAUUAAUACCGGAUACGGCCUAGCGGCGAAAGAUUCAUCGCCGGAGGAUUGGCCCGCGUCUGAUUAGCUAGUUGGUGGGGUAAUGGCCCACCAAGGCGACGAUCAGUAGCUGGUCUGAGAGGAUGAUCAGCCACAUUGGGACUGAGACACGGCCCAAACUCCUACGGGAGGCAGCAGUGGGGAAUAUUGGACAAUGGGCGCAAGCCUGAUCCAGCCAUGCCGCGUGAGUGAUGACGGCCUUAGGGUUGUAAAGCUCUUUCGCUAGGGACGAUAAUGACGGUACCUAGACAAGAAGCCCCGGCUAACUUCGUGCCAGCAGCCGC